rnacentral:rRNA from 1 species
GACGAACGCUGGCGGCGUGCCUAACACAUGCAAGUCGAGCGAAGUUUCUCUGCUGCUUGCACUUGCACAACUUACCAACGGACGGGUGAGACACACGUAACGAACCUGUCUCAUAGAGUUGGCUUACUAAUGCAAAGGCUAGCACAUAACGGAUACCAGUAUUUCUCGCAUGAGAGUUAUAUAAAACUUCGUUUUGGUAUCAAUUCGCGAUGGAUUUGCGGUGUAUUAGCGUGUUGGCGGGGUAAAGGCUUAACAAGUAGACGAUGGAUAGCCGACCUGAGAGGGGGAUCGGCCGCACUGGGACUUAAACACGGCCCAGGGUCCUACGGGAGGCAGCAGUAGGGAAUGUUCCGCAAUGGGCGGAAGCCUGACGGAACAGCGGCGCGUGUGUUGAGGAGGAGUUCGGUUCGUGAAGCUCUGUUGUGAGGGAAGAAUGGAUAUGUAGUAACUAGACAUGUAAGUGACGGUACCUGGCCAGAAAGCCACGGCUAACUACGUG